GACAAAACACCAUAUGUUGUCACCUCACUGAGAUUUUCAGAGAGAGGAAGCAGAAAAUAAUAUAGGGAUACAGAGAAAGAAGAUGCUGCACAAAAGUUCUUCAAUUUAUUUCCCCCAAAUCAACUGUCUAUCAGAGAAUAUGGGGAAACGACUGUGACAUAAACUAAAGAAACACUUGCAGCUCAGCUCAGAUGUUCUAACCACUGCUCUGAAGUCUUCCUCUCAGAAAAAUUUGUGUUGGACCAAUUAAAGGAACAUGAAGGAUCUACUCCAAUAGCUUCCUAUUGCACAGCUGUUUCUAAAUGCCUUGUUUCUGGUCUCUGAAGAAGAUAUAAUCAAGGGAAUGUUCCUCCAAAUACAUAAAAUUUCCCCAAAUCCCAAAGUGCAGGUCCUUCUUGCUUUUGGCAAGCAGUAAGAUGUUUCAGCUUUCAAGCUAGAAUUGCCUCUUCAAGGUUUCCAGGUUAUUGUGGGAUUGCAGUUAAACAAAGACAUGCUUUUCAUGGAGAGUUUUCAAUAAGACCUUCUUAUUCACAAGGAAAAUGAAUCAACAUAUUAGCCUCCAUUGUCUUCUCUGGCACUUUAUUGAAGGAAAAAGACAAUGAAAUAAAAUAAGGGAGA
rnacentral:lncRNA from 10 species